rnacentral:rRNA from 1 species
GAUGAACGCUGGCGGCGUGCCUAAUACAUGCAAGUCGAGCGAACAGAUAAGGAGCUUGCUCCUUUGACGUUAGCGGCGGACGGGUGAGUAACACGUAGGUAACCUACCUAUAAGACUGGAAUAACUCCGGGAAACCGGGGCUAAUGCCGGAUAACAUUUAGAACCGCAUGGUUCUUAGGUGAAAGAUGGUUUUGCUAUCCCUUAUAGAUGGACCCGCGCCGUAUUAGCUAGUUGGUACGGUAACGGCUUACCAAGGCAACGAUACGUAGCCGACCUGAGAGGGUGAUCGGCCACACUGGAACUGAGACACGGUCCAGACUCCUACGGGAGGCAGCAGUAGGGAAUCUUCCGCAAUGGGCGAAAGCCUGACGGAGCAACGCCGCGUGAGUGAUGAAGGUCUUCGGAUCGUAAAACUCUGUUAUUAGGGAAGAACAAAUGUGUAAGUAACUGUGCACGUCUUGACGGUACCUAAUCAGAAAGCCACGGCUAACUACGUG